ACCAACCCACUUUGUGGAGUCCUGGUGAUUCAUAGUAACCGAACGGAUCGCAGUUGGCUUCGGCCCGCGAUGGAUCUUUCAAGUUUCUGACCUAUCAGCUUUCGACGGUAGGGUAUUGGCCUACCGUGGCAGUGACGGGUAACGGGGAAUUAGGGUUCGAUUCCGGAGAGGGAGCCUGAGAAACGGCUACCACAUCUAAGGAAGGCAGCAGGCGCGCAAAUUACCCAAUGAAAACAGUUUCGAGGUAGUGACGAGAAAUAACAAUACAGGGCAUUUUAUGCUCUGUAAUUGGAAUGAUGGGAAUGUAAAACCCUUUCAGAGUAACAAUUGGAGGGCAAGUCUGGUGCCAGCAGCCGCGGUAAUUCCAGCUCCAAUAGUGUAUAUUAGAGUUGUUGCAGUUAAAAAGCUCGUAGUUGGAUUUCUGUCGUGGUCAUCCGGUUCCGCCCGUAUGGGUGCGCACCUGGUUUGCCCUCGGCUUUCUUCCGGUAGCCUUCCGCGCUUCACUGCGUGUGUUGGUGUUCCGGAACUUUUACUUUGAGAAAAAUAGAGUGUUUCAAGCAGGCUUGUUGCCCUGAAUACUUCAGCAUGGAAUAAUAAGAUAGGACCUUGGUUCUAUUUUGUUGGUUUCUAGGACCGAGGUAAUGAUUAAUAGGGACAGUUGGGGGCAUUCGUAUUUAACUGUCAGAGGUGAAAUUCUUAGAUUUGUUAAAGACGAACUACUGCGAAAGCAUUUGCCAAGGAUGUUUUCAUUAAUCAAGAACGACAGUAGGGGGUUUGAAGACGAUUAGAUACCGUCGUAAUCUCUACCAUAAACUAUGCCGACUAGAGAUAGGGAAACGCCUACCUUGGCUUCUCCUGCACCUCAUGAGAAAUCAAAGUCUCUGGGUUCUGGGGGGA
rnacentral:rRNA from 1 species